AAGUCGUAACAAGGUAACCGUAGGUGAACCUGCGGUUGGAUCAUUAACAAAUAUUAUUGAGCUCUACCCUCCCAAGGGUAGGUUCUCUAACACUUGUGUGCACUGUUUAUUGUCUCUCGGCGUUUCAAGGAGGGAGUUGGGUAAUUUGGAGCUUGCUCUGGGUUUCCCUUGGAGGCUUGUUGUUUUUAACGAGCCUCUACCCCCCCUGAGCGCCAACCUUUUAAACUUGAUUUUUGUUUAUACUAUAAGCCUUUAAUUUUAAAUUUAUAAUUUGAAAACAACUUUUAACAACGGAUCUCUAGGCUCUCA
rnacentral:misc_RNA from 1 species